AUUGAACGCUGGCGGCAUGCCUUACACAUGCAAGUCGAACGGUAACAGGUCUUCGGACGCUGACGAGUGGCGAACGGGUGAGUAAUACAUCGGAACGUGCCCAGUCGUGGGGGAUAACUACUCGAAAGAGUGGCUAAUACCGCAUACGAUCUGAGGAUGAAAGCGGGGGACCUUCGGGCCGCGCGCGACUGGAGCGGCCGGUGGCAGAUUAGGUAGUUGGUGGGAUAAAAGCUUACCAAGCCGACGAUCUGUAGCUGGUCUGAGAGGACGACCAGCCACACUGGGACUGAGACACGGCCCAGACUCCUACGGGAGGCAGCAGUGGGGAAUUUUGGACAAUGGGCGAAAGCCUGAUCCAGCAAUGCCGCGUGCAGGAUGAAGGCCUUCGGGUUGUAAACUGCUUUUGUACGGAACGAAAAAGCUUCCCCUAAUACGGGAGGCCCAUGACGGUACCGUAAGAAUAAGCACCGGCUAACUACGUGCCAGCAGCCGCCGUAACAC
rnacentral:rRNA from 1 species